GCAGCUGCAUCUGGGAAGCUCUGCAGUGAAGCUGACCAUGGAAUUGCCAAAUCCUCUUAAUUCUCCUUCUGAUGACAUUGAAGAUGGCCCAAGCCGGACCAGGACCUCUUCCUUUUUUUUUUGUGGAGGGUUGAUACUAUUAUAUUCCAUUUACAUUCAGGAAUAAGCAUCUCAUGCCGCCAUGCUCCAGUGCAUUGGAACUGUAUGAGAAAGGGAGUCUUGGGGAGAAAGCUUUUCCGUGCUGAGAGGAGGAAGGAACACAAUUUUUUUUUCUUUUUUUUUUAAACAAAUCUGCUACUUGAUGGUAUUGGAGCAACAUUUCUGUAAGCCUUGUAUCAACAGCAAUACAUUUAUUUGUAUCAACAGCAAAGUCAAAUAAUUCUGGUGUUGUCUUACAAUGAUCUGCUGUUGCUCGGAUCACAUAGGGAAUUCCAAAGAGCAGCAACCUUCAUGUUACCUGACAUUAUAUCAGCUUAGUCAUCACAGCCAAAUAACUUGUCUUUGAAAGAGGCUUACAUCUUACCUAAGCUCAUUUAAGUGGGCAGUCUCUUCUCCAGCACAGACAUUCGGUUUCUUUUUUCAGCGACUUCCUGAAGUACGUUUGGCAUUCAGCGUUCUGUUGUCGUUGCAGCAGCAAUUCUUUUAUUUUUUUAAGAUGUCGCUCUUUGCUAAGUGAUGGGAACAAGCAUUCACUUCACUCCAGUGCAGGUUUAGGCAGCUUAUUUUAAGCUGCUUAAACCUAGACCAAGAGUGGUGCAUAAAGCUGUUUGCCACUGUCAAGAGAAGAACAUGCAGCCAAUCCUACACUUCUAAACGCAGUGCUGGGACCCCAAGGACCAUGGCACUCUGAUUGGAAAUCACUGCUUCAGAGUACUCAGAAGAGCUGCACCAACGGCUGAUUAUCAUAAAGGAUCGCUUUAGGUGUAAUACUCCAAGACUGUCCUUAAAAUGGCAGAAGCAUCCCUAAGUGAAGCAAAAAAGGUGCAGAAGCUGGGAACCAGCCACGAAGAGGCAUGACAUGGUUAAGAUGAAACAACAGCUAUUUUAAGUGGGUAGAUCAGGGAGCAUUUUAAAAUGGGUUUUGUUUUGAUACUUAAUAAAGCAAGGCUUUCAGGACACAUUUCCCUCCCCAUUGGAAGAAGAAAAGUAAAUCAAUAGCUAAAGGAAAUGCCUACAGAAGAUUAAGCUGCAUGAGUCGGUGGGUUUUAGGUGAAAAAACACUCAAACUCAAAUAGGGGCACCCCUGUAUUCUGUCCUCCCUACUAGCAACAUUUUGAUACAUUAAUGCACUUUAGCAGACAAGAAAAUGUCAUUAACAUGCCGCAGCUAGGAAAAUAUUAGAACACUGGGGAAAAAGCAACAAAUACCCACAAGACAAAUGUAACAAUGUUUUUGUUCCACCCCCCCCCCCAAAAAAAAACCAAGAACAAAACCCAGCCAUUUAAACAUACACAUUUCACCACAGUCUCAUACUUUUUGUGCAGUGAAAGCAAAGGUCACUGAGAAUCAUUGCAUAGCAAACUCUUGGUAAUUGUUGACUACACAGAAACCACUGUAAAGGCAUGACACUGAAGGAAGCUGGCUGGUAACAAGUAGUUUUAAAUGCAGUUGUUCACCCGAUGUUGUCAGUGAGGAGGAAUAAUUUGACUACCUUUCUUUUUAGGAAGAAAUCUGGUAUAGUGCAUGUGACAUGGAGGCUCCAUUGUUUCAAUCAAUGGUUUCAGAAAAUCGGAAUUUUUCAAUUCAGAGCCUUGCUUUUUAGUAUUACUUUAAAGGUAUAUUAGUCAUUUGAUUAAUUACAAGACAUGCGUGCUUUCCCUUUCUCUCUUUCAGUCACUUUAUUUCUGACGCUUGUAUUUUGUAUGCUUUUCAGGUACAGAUAACUAGACUUUGAAUGUCAUGUGCUCUGUCUGUAAUGUCUAGGUACAUUUUUUUUUCUUUCUCAGAGUGCAAUAAUUCAGUAUUUGACAUUACAGGGAUUCAGGUUAACAUAAAAGGUAGUGAAAGUUUUUAAAGAUAUCUUACUGUCAAUUCCUUUUUCCUGCUCUGUCAUCUUAUUGCAACCCAUCAUUAAUAUUUAAAAAGGGUGUUCUUGUUUAGCAUAGAAAGGUGAAACAUUUGUACAAUGAUGAUGAUAUCUUAAGCUCAGUGUAAAUCUUUAGAAAUAGGUUAUGGGAAUAAAAGGCAUAAAAUAAAAGGGUAAAAAUAAUCUUUUAACUACUUUUUAAUAGUGUGGUUCAUGUGGAGGGGUUACUGCUUUUGAAUUGUUCCUAAACAUGCUGAAUUCUUCUAGGUAUUCUCUGUGAUGGAUGUAAAUAUUACAAACUGUUUAUGACAGGUAACAGGCGCAAUUGCUAAGCAAUUUUUCAUGUAUUCAAAAUGGAAUGAGUCAUAAAACACAUUAAAAAAAUGAGACAAGAUAAAAGAUUUCUCUGUCUAUUCCAUAAAAUAAUUUUACUUGCAAAAUUAUCCUAUUCUGCUGUCUAAGUAUAACACCAUCCUCCUUGUAUUCAUCAAAACUCAGCUCUACAUAAUUAUUUUAAAACUUUCUAAAUGUUUCUGGCCAAGUAUAUUUCUGGCAACAAAAUCAGUUACAAAUAAAAUACCUAGGGCAGUUCUUUGCUGUUUUGCCCAACAAAUUGUUUCUUAUAAAAUGUUAUUUAUAGGCUUAACUUCUUUUCUCUGAACUGAUUGCCACCACAUUUCCCCCACUUUAUACACCUAUGUCUGGCAUAGUACUAGAAAUUGGUAUACACCUAAUAAAGAGGAUUCCCCUCUUCUCUCCACCCAGCCAAACAAUCCAUUUGCCUCUCUGAAUUUUUCAGAAACAGCAAACUGAUCAAGUACUCCUGGAAUGUGCCCUUCACUCUACCAAGAUAAUUAGUUACAGUUACUUAAACUGAGCAACUAUUUCCCUUCAAAGAGGAUAUUAUAUUUGCCUAAUUGCAUUUAAGUGCUAAACACUGUAAAGGAUAAUGUUUCCUGAGAAUGGCAUUUUUUUUCUCUCCGCUAGCAAAAGGCUAGGUGCUCCUAACAGAGGUCAAUAGAAAGCUGCAGACAGUUUGAGUAAACCAUGAAAAUUCACAGAUCACUGAACACAGGCACAUUUUUCCCAAACCACUCACAAAGAAUCUUCUCCAUACAGUUCAUAUCCUUAUCACAUGCAUUAAGUAAAGAUGAAUGGUAAACUGUUGACUUUUCUGUUAUGUCAUGAAACCAUCGAGACGAGCCUGAGCUAAGCAAAAAAAAGCCUAGGCUGCAGAUUUUUGCAGAGGACCGACUGGGACAUCAGCCACCCAAACUAUUUUCACAUUAUCUCAGUCUUAAUUAAAGAACCAUUUUAACUGGCUUGUUUCAGCAAGAUUUUCACAUUACAAAUGCUGUAGUUUCAUUAGAGAGUCAGAAUAGAGACGCUACACAACUUUGCCUUUAAUUUUUGGCUAGACAGACAGGCAAACAAACAGUAGAAGAAUCUGAUGGAAAGCUUAAUUAUAUCAAUCCAUCAGCCCUUAAAUUUGCUUCCUUUCAGAAUAUCAGGCUCUGUCUUUAAAUCCAGAAGGAGAGAAGGCAAGAUACCAAGUUUAAAAUUCUCCAACUGUCAAAGGCUGUUUUACUAAUUAUCCAGAUUCCAAGGCAAUCAUACAGCCCGUAAUCAUUCACCUCACGCCUGGAAACAUAAGUCUUGUUCUUUUGAUGAAUAUUUAUAAGACAGUGUAAAGCAGUCUACUUUCUUUUCCCUUCAGGCAAGACAAUUUGGAGUUCAUCAAUAUGUAUUACCAAGGACUUUUAUAAAAGGCACUUCAAAGGAAAUUCAUCAGGCAUUCCUUUUGUCUUGAUUUCUGUUAGACUGAUACUUCCUUUUGACAAGUAUCAAUAAAUUAUCCUCUGAUGGCUAGAAACUUGAUGUCUUAUUCAGAAACUUCCUCACACAGCAAAAUCUAGGCUUUACAUUUCCAUUGAAAUUAUUAACAUCUUGCUCCUAAUUUAAAGAUGGGGGAGGAUGUACUAUGCAGUAUGAAGAACAAAAUAGUCAAUGUAUUUAUACAGUGGUUCCAUGACAUAUGUUACUUUCAGAGGCAGGAUUUUUCCAUAACUGUGCAUCUCGGUGACCUACAUUCCUUGCCAAUUUUCCCAUUUGACAUUUGACCAUAUUUGGAAUUCCUCAAAAAGAAAUAUUACAACUCCCAUCCCCAUGUGCUCAGAAUGAACAAUAAGCAAAUUAAAACCAGAUUAGUCCAGAUAUGUGGGAUUGAAUGACAGAUUGCUUCUGUCCCAAAAGACUAUUGCUUUUCUUUCUUUGGACACUAGCACUAAGAUUCGUGUUUCUCAGAAAGGAGGGUAGGGAUCUUUAAAAGGGAAGGGUAAAAAGAAUCUCUUCUAAUUGAUAUUCAAUGACAAAAUACUUAAAUGUCUCAAACAGCUUCCUUUUGUUAUUUAGAAAUGAAUAUCAUCCACUUUUCAUAUUUUUUAAGAAAAUUGCCAAAUGUUCACACAUGAAAAAAUUAUCAUGGAGCAGAUGAAUAAAAAUGAUAUGUA